GUCGUCGUGGCCGAGUGGUUAAGGCGACACACUUGAAAUCUGUUGGGCUCUGCCCGCACAGGUUCGAAUCCUGUCGGCGACG
rfam:Ciona savignyi cont_59492, whole genome shotgun sequence.